GUACUUCUGAGGAGUCCCACAAUAGAACAAAACGGCCGUCCAAUAC
rnacentral:hammerhead_ribozyme from 1 species